GUUUCUCUCUGUCCUCGGACUCCGCAGCGACAGCGACCUCUGACGAAGCCGUAGACGGGGAAUUGAAGAGAGGGCGCCACCACGAGCCGUUUCCUUAAUUGUCCUUUCAUCACGUCGGGGAGGCGAUGAUAACUUAUAAUGCGAGUGGGACCCCCGGACCCCCCCGACUCCCGGAAAGACCCUGCGUUUGUGUUUUGUCUACAGCCGCUCCAACCUCUCCUUGUUUGUGUGCUCGUGCUACCACGUGUUUCGACUGAGGAGACCUUGGAGGCAGCAAAUGUGACACCCUUGCAGUGACGCCCCAUGAAGGACACCACAGAUU
ensembl:lncRNA